rnacentral:rRNA from 1 species
UACGGAGGGUGCAAGCGUUAUCCGGAUUACUGGGUUUAAAGGGUGCGCAGGCGGAUAUGUAAGUCAGUGGUGAAAUCUUCCCGCUUAACGGGGAAACUGCCGUUGAUACUAUAUAUCUUGAAUGCUGUGGAGGUAAGCAGAAUAUGUCAUGUAGCGGUGAAAUGCUUAGAGAUGACAUAGAAUACCUAUUGCGAAGGCAGCUUACUACACAGAUAUUGACGCUCAUGCACGAAAGCGUGGGGAUCAAACAGG